CCGCUACCCACGGGUGUUGCGCCAGAUUUUUUUCUCACUCACUUUAGUUAGUAGUUUUAUUUCGCAAUAUUUAUUUCCGAAAUAUCAGUUUGCAUCCUACUUUUGUACUGUACAUAUUGUCAUUUUCAUUCUUUCCUAAUAGUUGGAGGUUGCCCUGAAUGUUUAUUACAACCUGAAAUGGACUAUCGUUUAUCGUCUUACUGAAAUUAUCGCUGUGCCGAGGGAACAGCUGUGGCAGAGAUUUGCUCUACAUGCAGUUUGUUACACGAUCGGCUAUCCGACUGCCACAAAGAUACGCGGGACUUUACUGACUGUGCACUGCGCCACUUUCAUGUGGAAUGGAUUCCAACAAGGCACCGUGAUAUGCUCAGGAUGAGCGUCGAUUUCUCCAUGUCGCCUAUGCAACUGAUAUGAAAAGAUACUCGGUGAUUGUUCAAUUGCUCAACUUGUACUCCCCGUGAUGCUCGUAUGAAUUGGACUGCCAGAAUCAUCAUGAUGGACACAUGUGCUGAACCAGUGCUCGGCAAAAACCCAAUAUCCCAAAGUUCUGCAAGCGCCUCGCACACCGCGGAGACAACUUAUCGUGGCACGAAAAACUGCUUCUACACCGAUCUCCGUCUACUAAAUUCAGAUACGCUAAAUCAGUUAUCAAUGUGGUCCUGCGAAGACUCGGAACGGAUUUGGAAGCCAUGCAAAAUCUCUUUAUUGCUGUUACUUGUGGCGAUACCGAUAAGACUUGCUGUGUCGGCCUCAGAGGUUGCUCCAGUAUUCGAGUAUCUGGGCGGGAUAUGCCGAUUAAUCACGCAGUUGUCAGGUCAUUCCGAGGAGCGAAGUUAAAAAAUCUUCUGCCAAUUGAAACGUGCUCUUUGGAAGAAGGCGAAAUCUGCAUCAAUCCAUACCACUAUUACGAAGCCGCACCGGAGCGAUGUCCAAGGAUUGACGGUGGUACCCUUUGCGUUGUUUAUGGAUGCAGCAACCGGCCGAACAAAGUUGCGGAUAUUUCGUUUUUUAAAGUUCCUAACAAGAGCGAAGACCAGCGCUAUCGGGCAUUCUUUGCCUUCUACGGCAGAAAAGACCUCGAAAAGACGGGAUUUCUAAAACAUCACCGCAUCUGCAGUCAGCAUUUCCGUACAGACGACAUUAUUUGGACCUGAUUGACGCCAAGAUUAUCCCUCUCUGCUGUGCCUACGGAACGGCCGGGAUCGUCAAAUCCGACUAAAAUCAUUCAACCUCCGCGCCGGCUGCUGAAUCGACUGGCCGAAAAUGAGCACCAACAGUUUUUCUCCUCAAAAUUUUUCAUGAAGUUGAAGAGCGCUGAAUGUGAUUCCGUAAUCAACGAAUGUGGAUUCACUGUCUUGCAACGCUCUGACAACGACAUUCUACUUGGGAAAAUUUCUGUUAUCGCGUCCACCCCGGAAACCGUUAAUUAUGAUACCGUACUUGUGCGAAUAGUGCCAGAUGCAGCGCCAGCGUUUUUUAUUAACGGUGUUCCGGUUGGUGACGAGUUGACAGAUUAUAAUGGAAAUGAUGCAGUAUCGAAUGAGCGUUCGCUAAAGAAACUUCUGACAUUUCGUUUUACGGAUGUGAAUGCUGUAACUCAUACAUAAAUGUCGAAUACAUUCUUUUGCGCAAAACGUUUAAUCUGUUGCUGAACAACUAUGUUAAUAAUAAGCGUGACGAUCUUUUUGAUUUGAAAUUUGGGAAGAAGCGGCCGGCAAAGAUGUCUGAACAACCGGCGAA